UACGUAGGGUGCGAGCGUUAAUCGGAAUUACUGGGCGUAAAGCGUGCGCAGGCGGUUCUGAAAGUCAGCUGUGAAAGCCCCGGGGCUUAACCCUGGGAACGGCGGUUGAAACUACAGGACUAGAAUCUGGCAGAGGGGGGGUGGAAUUCCACGUGUAGCAGUGAAAUGCGUAGAGAUGUGGAGGAACACCGAUGGCGAAGGCAGCUCGCUGGGACGUUACUGACACUGAGGCGCGAAAGCGUGGGGAGCGAACAGG
rnacentral:rRNA from 1 species